CUCACUUUCCCCUCUCUUCGUUAUUUCUCUCUUAUUUUUAUUUUAUUUUAUGUUUUGAUUUGUUUUUACCUUUUUAAUUUAACCUAAUUGCUUUUGGUUGUUCUACUUUAAUCGUUGUUGAACAUAUUAUUUUCUGAUUAGUUCUCUUGAUGUUGUUGUUUUGAAGGAGAACAUAGUAUUUAGCUAUGUGGUUUUCUUUUUUUCCUUUUCUGUGUACUGGAUUUUUGGUUGAGUUUAUUCAUUUGAAAGAAUGGAGAUAUUGAAGUGUACUUUCUGGGUUUCCAAAUUGUAGGCAACAAAGUACAGUGUAAAGCUAGUUAAAAAGGUACUGUUUAUAGGUCAAUAAAGUUACUCUUAAAAGGUUGUGUCCAGCUUGCAAGAGAAUUUAUGGGCGAUGGUUAAAGGAUAUGGUAUCAAAUUCAUGUGGAUGGAUAUGUUGAAUUCAAUGAAAGCAGAACUCAGUUUGGCGCAUCAUGUGAAGCAUAAAUUUUGAUUCCAGUACUGGUGGGUGUGUACAUAUAUGGAGUAGUAGUUAGAGUUACAACGUUGUGAAUCUUCAUCUAUCUAAGGAUAUUCUAUUAUCUUGUUAUUUUUUUUCUUAUUAAUAUUUUAUUGCUGUCACAUUCUAUAUUCACUUUUUUCCAGUAGUUAUCUGAGUAGUGAUAUGUGUUUAUACCUUUGAUCAAACGCAAAAG
rnacentral:lncRNA from 1 species